AUAUCUAAGGUUUCCAGAGUAAAGCUGAUCUGCUCUGGGUAAGUCGGGGCCUAAGCACAGGUCGCAAGACGUAAGCGAUGGAUAACAGGUUUAGAUUCCUGUACCACGCAUUAUCAGAACUGUAGGGACGCAUGUGGAAAGCACGAGCCGGGAAUGGAAAGACCGGUACAAGCGGGGUAGGUGUACAAUAGGCAAAUCCGUUGUAUAAUCCGAAGACGUGAUGUGGAGCGAAAUAAAGUAGUGAAGCGUGUGAGCCAUGUGCCGAGAAAAGCUGCUAUUGUGUAAUGCGUGCCCGUACCGUAAACCGACACAGGUGGAUGAGGAGAGAAUCCUAAGGCCGACGGAAGAAGCAUUGUUAAGGAAUUCGGCAAAAUGACCCCGUAACUUCGGGAGAAGGGGUGCCUGCGAGAGCAGGCCGCAGAGAAUAGGCUCAAGCAACUGUUUAGCAAAAACACAGGUCUAUGCGAAACCGAAAGGUGAAGUAUAUGGGCUGACGCCUGCCCGGUGCUGGAAGGUUAAGAGGAGAGGUUAGCGUAAGCGAAGCUUUGAAUUUAAGCCCCAGUAAACGGCGGCCGUAACUAUAACGGUCCUAAGGUAGCGAAAUUCCUUGUCGGGUAAGUUCCGACCCGCACGAAAGGCGUAAUGAUUUGAGCACUGUCUCGACAAUGCAUCCGGUGAAAUUGAAGUACCAGUGAAGAUGCUGGUUACCCGCGCCAGGACGGAAAGACCCCAUGGAGCUUUACUCCAGUUUGAUACUGGGAUUCGGUACUGCAUGUACAGGAUAGGUGGGAGACGAAGAAGGAUGGACGCCAGUCUGUCCGGAGUCGCUGUUGGGAUACCACCCCUGUAGUACUGGGUUUCUAACCAGUUGCCAUGAACUGGCAAUGGGACAAUGUCAGGCGGGGAGUUUGACUGGGGCGGUCGCCUCCGAAAGGGUAUCGGAGGCGCUCAAAGGUUCCCUCAGAAUGGUUGGAAACCAUUUGAAGAGUGCAAAGGCAGAAGGGAGCUUGACUGCGACACCGACGGGUGGAGCAGGUACGAAAGUAGGACUUAGUGAUCCGGUGGUAUAAAGUGGGAUUGCCAUCGCUCAACGGAUAAAAGCUACCCUGGGGAUAACAGGCUUAUCACUCCCAAGAGUUCACAUCGACGGAGUGGUUUGGCACCUCGAUGUCGGCUCAUCGCAUCCUGGGGCUGUAGUAGGUCCCAAGGGUUGGGCUGUUCGCCCAUUAAAGCGGUACGCGAGCUGGGUUCAGAACGUCGUGAGACAGUUCGGUCCCUAU
rnacentral:rRNA from 1 species